rnacentral:lncRNA from 1 species
CUGGAAGAGGGUCCCUAACUGAAGGAGAUAGUGGUGAAACCACUCCUUUAGAAAUUCUCCCCGCAUUCACAAAACCUUAGGAAUAAUUGGUCAGUUGCCAAUCUCUCUUUCAUGCCCAAGGUUCCUGAGCAGGUGGUCAUGGCCCAGAUCUAGGGGGAAACUGGUUUUCUAGACCGAUUUCAAUCUGGGCCCUCUUUUUUUUUCAAUUAGGCCCAGCUUUUUGCACAGAAACUGCCCUUGCUAAUGCUCCUCAAACUCCCGGUGGCUUUUGAUGCCAUUAACCAUGGUACCCUGCUGGAAUGGCUGCCCAAGUUAGGAGUGGGUGGCACCAUUUAGUGGCGAUUCCAGUCCUAGCUGGAUGGCCAUUUACAGAGAGUGAUGCUUGGAGAGUACUUUUUGGCUCCAAGGAACCUUGAAUGUAGGGUUCCUCAGGGGUCGAUUUUAUCCUUCAUGCUGUUAACAUCUACACUUCUUUGUAUCUGGACUGGAUGAACCAAUAAACUGAAGCUGAAUCCAUAUAAGACUGAGGCACUGUUAGUAGGUGAUCCCCUAGACUGGAUGCAUGAGAGGUGACCUGCUCUUGAUGGAGGAGAAGAAGAAGAGUUUGGACUUGAUAUCCCGCCUUUCAUUCCCCUUAAGGAGUCUCAAAGUGGCUAACAAUCUCCUUUUCCUUCCUCCUCCACAACAAACACUCUGUGAGGUGAGUGAGGCUGAGGGACUUCAGAGAAGUGUGACUAGCCCAAGGUCACCCAGCAGCUGCAUGUGGAGGAGCGGGGAAGCGAACCUGGUUCACCAGAUUAUGAGUCCACCACUCUUAACCACUACACCAUGCUGGCUCCAUGCUGGAGUUAUAUUCCCUCUGAAGGAACGGGGACACAGCUUCGUUAUACUGUUGCUUGAGUCUCAGGUGGCCUCAGUGGCAUAGAGUACCUUCCAUCAGCUUUGGCUGGUGGCCCAGCCACACCCAUAACUGGAUCCUCUUGUAAUUUCUAGAUUAGAUUACUGAAACAUAUUAAAUGUGGGGCUGCCUCUGUAGAUGGUUCGGAAACUUCAGCUGGUACAGAAUCUAGUUGCCAGGUAGCUCACUGGGGCAAGAUGGCUUGAGCAUAUAGCACCAAUCCUGGCCCAACUGCACUGGCUACCAAUUAGUUUCCAAGCUGAGUUCAAACUGCUGGUUUUGGCCUAUAAAGCCUUAAAUGGCUCAGAAUCACAAUACAAGGACUGCCUUUCUCCACAUGAACCAACCCAGACCCCGUGAUGAUCAUCUGGGGUCCUUCUUUGUGUGCCUGCUUCACAAGAAGCCCAGAGUGCAGCAACACAAGAACAGGCUUCUCUGCAGUGGCUCCCUGCUUCUAGAAUGCUCUCCCCAGGGUGGGUAUUGGUUUUUUUUUGUUAUUAUGGUAUGUAUUUUUGUGUUUUUAUAUUUGAUCUUUGGGUGAAUAGCAGUAUAGAAAUUUAAUUAGUAUACUAAUUUAAUUAGAAAUAUUAAUAAUAAUGCUGUUCUUCAUUUUACUGAGACUUCUAAAAUGCAGUUACAUUACAGUUCAGGUUGCAAAAUCGGCCUUGGACCUUUGUGAAUUUACUUCAGGAGGAGAACACAGUUACCCAGCCAGCUCUAGGGUAAUCUCUCACACACAGGCAUUAAAAAGAAUACCUUUCUCCUGAAUCUUCCCCCCGCCCCAUGUCCUGCUUACCUAGUUUGCUUUAAAAUAAGCUGCUAAGGACAACUGCAUGUUUUGUCUCAGUGCCUGGCAGCUGUAGCCGCUAACAUGAUAAUUAAUGUUUACAGGGGGAAUGGUUAUCUGCCCUGAAAAGGAGAGUACAAUUCCAAGGUAACCUGUUUUCUGCCUUCAACUUUUAUGGACCUGCAUCAAAAAAGCUAAAUUUAAAAUCAACCAUUCAUUGUGUAAAG